GGCUCGUGAGCGCGCUGCUGCCCGGACCGAGCCUGGGCCUCAGAGAGGACGAGGAUAAGAGUUCAGGCGAGAGACGGGUGACCGCCCCUCAGCUGCUGAGCCGCUUCGGCGCUUCCGUUCCCGCAGCUCUGACUAUUCGGACCCUCAGGGCAGAGCGCUAAGAGGCCAACUCGCUGCUCCGUGGAGCUGACGUUCAGAGAAUAUCCAUCUCUUAUUGAAAACAUCUGUUGAGCAUCUGUGAUCAGUCAGAUCCUGAUCUAGGAAUUUCCAACAAACGCUGCUGGUGGAUUGUGCUUGGAGGAUGAAGAGAAAGGAGAAAACACAAAAGCCUCCCAACUGUCUCUUUUGAGUGGCAGAGUGAAUGAAGUAAAAUUCACUGAGGAGGAGCAGUCUGCUGGAAGAACAGAUUUCUUUAUUCGGAGAGAAGGCAGGAAGGAAAAUUUUAAAUUCUAUCUGAACAUUUUAAAUUAUAUUAUGCCCACUUAAUAAUUUGUAAUUGAACUGUUAAUACAUGACUUAAGGUUCACCCAAAUCUGUACAAGAAUAAGCCAUGUUAUAACAAAGUGCCAUGCUACCUGGGAAAUUAAAAUUAAUGACAUGUAUUUAAAGUAUAAGUUCUUAAAGUGAGUUAGUGUUUCUGUUAGGAUAAUUGCUACCAUCGAUUGAGGGGGUUUUUAUUUGUUUGAACCGUAUGAGAUUGCAGAUAUUGGUAAUUUUGAACUUGAAAAUGGCAAUGCCAUACGGCUUGUCUCUGUAUUCCGGCCAUAGAACUAUUUGUUUACAUAUGAAUGAAUGAAUAUUCACAAAAACCCUUAAGGUAGACUUUCUGUUAACUUAUACUUGAUAAAAUGGAAGUUCUGAAAGAAGUUAAAUAACCUGCCGAAAGUCUGCUAACAAGUAGAUGAGCAAGAAUCAAAACAAGGUCUUGCUGACAAAGCAUCUGGACUCUUGGUCACAAGGUUAUACCACCCCUAUUUCCAGCCAGAAUCAUUCUGCCUUCCUCUCAAUGUAAAAAUCUUCAGAUCCAAAAGACAGAUAUACAGGAGUGCUUGGUCUGAUGGGAUGAAGAGUUGCUGACUGUCUUCCUCCUACAGAGAGCCAAGUUCAAGUGGAACUUACAAGUCAGGAUUGCAUUUUAGAAGUAAAUACAGUGAACAAAGAGAAAUCAGAGUGAGUUAAUACUAUUAAAGGUUGCUCAGAAAUUCCCAUUAAAUUCAUUUUUUCAAGAAAUUUCUAGCUUCUCUUCUACAUUUAUCACUGAAACCCCUCUACUAUACAAAUACAUUAAAUAGAAAACAAGUGAUUCUAACCUCAGAGAAAAUAUAAUGCCACCGGCUGAAACAUAUCACCAGUCAACAAGCUGUGACCACUUUUAGCGAAUGCCUUAUAGCAUGUUUAAUACCAUACUUAAUAUCAUACUCGGGCAUUUCUAUACACUGAAAAGUGGUACUACCAAUGAGUGACAGUCAGUAUGGAAAUAAGUAAAAUACAUCAUCAAUCAUAGAGACUUUAGGCUUUUCCCUCUUAAUAUAGUUUCUGGAUUAUCUAGAUUUCAGUAAAAUGAAGAAACUCUUCAUAUAUGUAUUCUCACCCUGUCUGUGAAUCAAUUAGGAACACUAUAAGGACAGAAUAGCAAAGUCUGCUUGAUCAGUUAGUAAUUAGCUGUUUAAAUCAAAGGUUAAAAAAAGUUUACAUGACUGAAAGCUUUCUGUCCACCCUUGGGAAGAAUAUUUCCCACACAGCUCUUGCAUUGUGAAUGUCAAUUAGAGCCUACAGUCCUUGGUGAUGAGCAGUAGAAAUAGUCACCUAAUGAAAUCAUACUCCUGCUAAUGUAAAAUUGAAUUUUCAGUUUAAUAACGAAAUGAAUCUGUUCUUCAAUACUGUAUAGAUUAGGGGUUGAGUAUAAUAGCUAGUCCCCAAAUUGGUCCUGGAAAUAAGGGCAGAACUUAUUAAUCUCUAAGUUCUCAGCCAGCUUUGAUAGUAGUUGAAUAAGUACCAAAACCUAAAACUUCCCGGGUGGCUCAGUGAUAAAGAAUCUGCCUGCCAUUGCAGGAGACGCAGGAGACAUGGGUUCGAU